UGGGUAGUCCGCACGAGCGCACCUCACUUUUAGUUGCUACCAUUUAGUUGGGCACUCUGAAAGAACUGCCAGUGAUAAGCUGGAGGAAGGUGGGGAUGACGUCAAGUCCUCAUGGCCCUUACGUGUUGGGCUACACACGUGCUACAAUGGCAUCUACAACAGGAAGCAAGAAUGCGAAUUUAAGCAAAUCCUUAAAAGAUGCCUCAGUUCGGAUUGUACUCUGCAACUCGAGUACAUGAAGCUGGAAUUACUAGUAAUCGCGGAUCAGCGUGCCGCGGUGAAUACGUUCCCGGGUCUUGUACACACCGCCCGUCACACCAUGGGAGUUGGUUCUACCUUAAGGCAAAAUGUUAACCUUUGGGAAACAUUUGACCACGGUAUAGUCAGCGACUGGGGUGAAGUCGUAACAAGGUAGCCGUAGGGGAACCUGCGGCUGGAUUACCUCCUUUCU
rnacentral:rRNA from 1 species